rnacentral:piRNA from 1 species
UAGACCUGAUUGAUUGAAAACAAAUUAAUAGG